rnacentral:rRNA from 1 species
UACGUAGGUGGCAAGCGUUGUCCGGAUUUAUUGGGUUUAAAGGGUGCGUAGGCGGCUUUGUAAGUCAGUGGUGAAAUACUCUAGCUCAACUAGAGGGGUGCCAUUGAUACUGAUGAGCUUGAGUACAGAUGAGGUAGGCGGAAUUGACGGUGUAGCGGUGAAAUGCUUAGAUAUCGUCAAGAACACCUAUAGCGAAGGCAGCUUACUAGGCUGUAACUGACGCUGAGGCACGAAAGUGUGGGGAUCAAACAGG